rnacentral:lncRNA from 1 species
UAAGGGCUGGGAUGAAACCUUGGGCACCGUUUAUAUGAUAUGGAGUGAAUCGUGUUAUCACAGAGUUCUGCUGCACUUGGAAUAGAUCCUUGCACACUAUUGCCUGCUACUUACAGAAUAUCUUACAAGAUGUGGCCUAAGAUCCACUUAAGGAACACGUGUUCGACUGGAGUGUUAAUUCCCAUGACUGUAACAAAGUACCCGAGGGGCACCUAUAAUAAAACAACACUGAAGGAAAGCACACAAAACCAUUCACUGACUAUCGCAAGGACAAAUCUGGACCACUUCCGUGUGACGGGAUGCCAGAGAUUCUCCAGGGGACCAGUUUCUGUGAAACUUUUUGCCUCAGGACUGCAGCCAAGCUUUUGGGCUUGUCACGCAGACUCCACUGGAGUGGGUGUGGCAGUGAGAUGCUUCCAGAACUAGGCCCAAUUUAACAGACGGAGGCAGUAAGCCUUGGAGAUGACAAUUACAUCAGGUGAAUAAAAGAUACUAUUACGGCU